UUCCUGGAGGACUAGUGUUUAGGCCUCGGUGCUCUUACCGCCGCUUGCCUGGGUUCGAUUCCUGGCCAGGGAA